AUUGAACGCUGGCGGCAGGCCUAACACAUGCAAGUCGAGCGGAUGAAGGGAGCUUGCUCCUGGAUUCAGCGGCGGACGGGUGAGUAAUGCCUAGGAAUCUGCCUGGUAGUGGGGGAUAACGUCCGGAAACGGGCGCUAAUACCGCAUACGUCCUGAGGGAGAAAGUGGGGAUUUUCGGACCUCACGCUAUCAGAUGAGCCUAGGUCGGAUUAGCUAGUUGGUGGGGUAAAGGCCUACCAAGGCGACGAUCCGUAACUGGUCUGAGAGGAUGAUCAGUCACACUGGAACUGAGACACGGUCCAGACUCCUACGGGAGGCAGCAGUGGGGAAUAUUGGACAAUGGGCGAAAGCCUGAUCCAGCCAUGCCGCGUGUGUGAAGAAGGUCUUCGGAUUGUAAAGCACUUUAAGUUGGGAGGAAGGGCAGUAAGUUAAUACCUUGCUGUUUUGACGUUACCAACAGAAUAAGCACCGGCUAACUUCGUG
rnacentral:rRNA from 1 species